AGUGUGUGGAUGGGGUUUGACUGUGAGGGGCUCAGACACCAAGCCUGCAGAUUCCUGACGAAGCUCUGGUUCAAAAUUACCAAGGCCUUCCGAGUCAGGCUCCGGAAGUCAGUCAGGCUGCGGAAGUCAAGUUCCGGAAGUCAGUAAGGCCUUGGAAGUCAAGUCCUGAAAAUUGUCCUUGAAGUCGUUAGGUGGAGAUAUUGUGUGUUCUGUGCUCAGAUUUGUCAUCCUCCUUAAAUUCAAAGGAGAUAGAAGCUGCAAAUACUUGUCAGAGUUUAGGUGUGAUCGGAAAGGAAUUUUAAGAAACGGUGAUUAUGUUUCAGACAGCAGCAGCCUCCCUCAUGAUGCGGGAAGGCAAUGUGGGAGGGAAACCCUCUGGGGGCCUAAUUCAGCUUGGCAAGUGUGAGAGAGCGCCCGAUGAACUCCUCGCAGGUAUCCAGAAAAGAGCAGACCCAAACCCAGACAGAAUCUUCUUUUCAGAAUUCCCUGGAGUGAGACUCAGGACAAUAUUAAAUCCAAUGAAUCACGCAGCUUUCAGGAGGGCAGGGCAGCACGCUGCAGAGGAGCACUGAAUGAUGGCUCGGCCUGGGGUCCCUGGCGGCAGCAGUGGCCGCACCAGGCACCGUGUUCUCAUUCAACAAAGACUCAGGUUAGUGAGGAAGACGGCUGUGCCAAAUCUCUCUUCACUCUUUAUCAAGUUUCCGGAUGUUGUGUAAUUCUUUUUUGCAGCCCUCAGUUCUGCAAGGAGCCUAGUGAAUGCUUCCAUCAGUGGACUAUGCAAGGCAUCUGGGCAAGCAGUUGCCUCAUGGUCUGUAUACAAUUUGUUGAUUUGAAAAUUACUCCCCGUGACUAUACCUUGCUCUCAGGUCAGGCUCAACUAACUCCAGGGAGUCUUACGGUCAGCACAGGGUACACAGGCGUGGAUGGGUUUACUUUGUGUUGUGCUUGCCUGGGCCUGAUCAAAACCUACCCUCCAGCCCCUGGGGAAUUCUGCUCUGCUCCUUACCACCUAUUGGCUUGCUUAUGUGAGAGCCCUGAAGGCCAUGCUCCCAAAAGUAGGCCUUGA
rnacentral:lncRNA from 1 species